rnacentral:rRNA from 1 species
UACGGAGGGUGCAAGCGUUAAUCGGAUUUACUGGGCGUAAAGCGCGCGUAGGCGGCUUGUUAAGUCGGAUGUGAAAGCCCCGGGCUCAACCUGGGAACUGCAUUCGAUACUGGCGGGCUAGAGUCCGGUAGAGGGUGGUAGAAUUCCUAGUGUAGCGGUGAAAUGCGUAGAUAUUAGGAGGAAUACCGGUGGCGAAGGCGGCCACCUGGAUCGAUACUGACGCUGAAGUGCGAAAGCGUGGGGAGCAAACAGG